UGCCCCUUCCCCGCCCAUCACCCCCGCCGCCGCGGGAGCACGGGAGGCGGGUCUGCUGGGGCGAGGCUGCUCUGCAGUGUCCCUGGGGGAAGACCAGGCGCUGCCGAAGCCCCCCACCCCCACCCCUGCGGGAUAGCAGCCGGGGGCUCGGGGAGGACGCCAGGGGGCGGGGCCGAGGCUGCGGCCUGGAGCGGGAGCGUGCGUCUGUCUGCUCCGGACGCAGUGCGCAUGCGUCCAAGUCCUCGGGCCCGUCGCUUGGGCUGACGCUGCUCGGACCUAACCCGGCGGACUUGGGCGGGGCCUCUGCGGCCGGAGGGCAGGUAGUGCUGAUGGAGGUGGCUCAGUCGAGGCCUUCUUACUACCCCGCUCCUCAGCUGAGUUCCUGAGUAGCAAGGCCAGAAGAAAGUUGUUUAAUUUCAUCCAUCACUCUUUUUCACUGCAUCUCUGAAUGAGGUGAUCCCAUAGAAGUUGUCUGAGGACUAUUAUCAACUUCAGUUAUGAGUCGCUAAGUGAACUUCUGCUCACCACAGGAAGAAACAUCUCUUGAUAAGGCCUCUCUGCCUUUGGCAAGCUUGUCAUUACACCUGCCAGGGUGAGACCUUAUGCCCAGGACCAACACAGUAGGAGUCAUAAUUGCCUUGGUUUUCCCAGUGGCUGUCCAGAAACCGUAACAGAGUAUGAAAGUACCUGUGGAUUAACACUCCAUGAAGAGACAGUGCUGUGUGGGACCUCUGAGGAUGUCUAAUAUUGCCAUGGACCAACGAUGCUGUUUAUGAAGCCACAGAGAACUUGGCAAUGAAUUUCUUUCUGCUUCAACUUUGUUUCCUCUUGAGUUGCUGUCAUAAGAUUGUACCCUCAUAAUGCAUUACCAUAUCAACUGCCUUUCUCAGUUUCCAGGCAAAAGCACUUUUCUAUGGAAACGUAGCAGUUACUUCCCCAGCCAAAUAAUUACCUUUACACAUUCCCCCAUGGAAGACCCUAAUUUAUGAGCACCACCACCACCAUCACUGCAUGAUGCCUACGAUGUAUUAUUGGGAAAAACUGUUAAACCCAAAUCUAAUUUCCAGACUUCAUUUGCAGGGAGAUACAUACUUAAACAUAGAUAGCACCAGGAACCAACUAGAUAAACCAAGAAUAUGCAGCCUUCUUUAAGUUAGCUGUCCAGAUUUUUUAAAAGUCAAUUCUAUAGGUCAAAACCAAAUAGAAGGAAAAGUGGGAGAGAUUCUCCAGGUUAACCUCCAGGUGGGUGGGACCCUCAAACCUUUGUUGUAUCAUGGAAGAAAGUUCCAUUAAAAAAAAAAAAACUUUACAGGACAAUUAAGAAAUUUAACAAGUGACUUGGGGAGGGACAGUGAGAUGACUCAGGAGGCGGGGGAGCUUGUACCCACCUGAUGACCUGAGCUUGAUCCCCAGAACCCACAUAGUGGAAGGUGAAAGCUGAUCCUGCAAGUUGUCCUCUGACCACCACACGUGUGCUGUAGCAGACAAGUGCCCAUGCACAUACACAGACAAACUUUUAAAUGGCUUGAGUAUUAGUUGUGAUUAUUAAUAGAAUAGUUGCUGUUUCUUA